rnacentral:lncRNA from 1 species
UAAAAAGGAACCAAACUAAUUCUCUUCAUCAAUUAAGGGAUUCGAGUUCAAAUACAAUUCUUUCGAUUAUGACAAACAUUUAUCUUCCUGGGUUACUUUAAGCAUCAAAAUACGAAUAUUCAGGUCAAAAUUCAUCUCGUUUUUCCUUUAAGCGUAUAUUGAAUAUCAGAUGGGAGGAAAAAAAAAAAUCUAAUUCCCCCUACACAGGGGGUAGAAACUAUCCGGGGGGCAGAAACUAUCAGACCUGUUAUGUAACCCAAUCUACUCAGCUAUAUCCUCCACAAUUAUCCAGCAACACUUUUGAUGCACCAUCAGUGCUACUUUCGAUAGCCAUUGCCAGAGUGCCGGACAAAAUUCUAUUAUCAUUUUUCAUAUAAGUUUCUGUUUGCUCAGACGUGCUUCUUCUCCAAAUUAGCUG